UACGGAGGGUGCGAGCGUUGUCCGGAAUCAUUGGGCGUAAAGGGCGCGUAGGUGGCCCGGUCAGUUCGUGGUGAAAGCGCGGGGCUCAACCCUGCGUCGGCCAUGAAUACUGCCGCGGCUGGAGCACUGUAGAGGCAGGCGGAAUUCCGGGUGUAGCGGUGGAAUGCGUAGAGAUCCGGAAGAACACCGGUGGCGAAGGCGGCCUGCUGGGCAGUUGCUGACACUGAGGAGCGAAAGCCAGGGGAGCAAACGGG
rnacentral:rRNA from 1 species